AUGCUAUUAUAGAUAGACUGCUAGAGUCUCACAGUUACUGCUUUAAGCAGCAGAUGAAAGCAUACAAAAGCCUUCAGGCACAUAAAAGCCUUCACAACUGGAUUUGUUUUGAAACAUUGAUGUUUUGAUGAUUUCUAUAUUAUUGUUGGAAAGGUGAAAAAUUCCCAAAAAGCUAAUGCUAAACCGCUAGAUGCUUCGGUGAAUAGCCAGUUCCAAUGGCAUAGCAAAUGCACAUUGUAUGUGUAUGGCCAGUAAUAGUGAAAUUUGCAGCAAUCUUAUUUGCAGCUGAGUAUGCCCACAGCAAGACAGAAGAAGAAGAACCCAAUGCAUGUACAGAUGUUACAGCUAUGUACAUUCUCUGGUGAAAAACUAAUGAGUUUUCAAGCUGUUCGGUCAGAGUGCUUGUUGCGCUCUCUAAACGAACUGAUAUAUAAGACGGCUUUGGCUUCAUGUUGCAGUGAUAUGAAAAUGGUUAGUCAUUUUUAAUUAUAAUGUACUUCUUCAUCAUGAGUAUUUAUGUAUAGGGCUUUUCAUUCACAGUCAUUUGUUUCGAGCUUCUGUCAUGUGUCACAUAAUAUUAAUAUUAUAUCUACGUCAUACGUUAUUGGUAUAUAUCAAUGAUACACACCAAAGACAUAUGGCAUAGAUAUAUUAAUAUUAUGUGACACAUGACAGAUGCUCGAAACAAAUGACAGUCGAUAAAAAGCCCUAUUAGUCUUUUAAGUGUGUAUUAUCAGAUAUCACAUGUAAAUUGUUUUUAUCAUGUUAAUUUGGUCAUUACAGUCCCUUAAUCAAAAAAUAUAUUUUUCAGGUGUC